UAUAUGUUUACAGGUGUGUAAGUGGGAUAAAAAGUUUGAUUUUUGUUUAAGGAAUUGAAUUAAAUUUUAUAUUUACAUGUAAAUUUUUGUGUAAGUUUAUAUAUUUUUUAAAUAAAAAUAUUAAAAUUUUUGUUCGCAGUAAAUGAUUUUAUAAAUUAAUUAAAAUUAGAUUUAGUAUAAAUUUAUAGUAUUGACUAAAUUUGUGCCAGCAGUUGCGGUUAUACAGAUAAUAUAUUUCAAUUUUUAUUAGUAUUAAUAUAUUGAAAAUUAUAAAGUUUUAAGGGAAAAUUUAUUGGGUGAAAUCUUAAGGUUUUUAAAAAAUUUAUUUAUAUUGAUUAGUUAAUAAAUUUAGUAGUAGACUAGGAUUAGAUACCCUAUUAUUUUAAAUGUAAAAUUAAGCUAGAUUAGUAUUAGUUAUGUUCUUGAAAAUUAAAGAUUUUGGCGGUUUUUUAGUCUAUUCAGAGGAACCUGUUCUAUAAUCGAUAGUCCACGAUUUAGAUAACCUUUAUUAUAAAUUUGUAUAUCGUCGUAGUUUGAAUAUUUUAAAAGAAUUUAAAUAUUCAAAAUUUAUUUUUUAAAUAAUAUCAGAUCAAGGUAUAGUUCAUAUAAAGGUAGAAAUGGGUUACAUUAAUUUUAAUUAAGGAUAAUUUAUUGAAAAUAGAUUUAAAUAAGGAUUUGAAAGUAAUUUUUAAAAAAUUUUAAAGAUGAUUUUAGCUCUAAAAUAUGCACAUAUCGCCCGUCGCUUUCAUUUUAAGGUGAAAUAAGUCGUAACAAAGUAGGCUUACUGGAAGGUGAGCCUAGAAAGA